UACAGAGGUCUCGAGCGCUAGGCGGAAUCACUGGGCUUAAAGCGUGUGUAGGCGGACUGGUAAGUACCUUGUGAAAUCCCACGGCUCAACCGUGGAACUGCUUGGUAUACUGCUUGUCUUGUGCAACCUAGGGGCGAGCGGAACAGAUGGUGGAGCGGUGAAAUGCGUAGAUAAUCAUCUGGAACGCCAAUGGUGAAAACAGCUCGCUGGGGGUUUGCAGACGCUGAGACACGAAAGCCAGGGGAGCAAACGGG
rnacentral:rRNA from 1 species